GCUGCAGUAUCAUCGCAUUCCCCUUUUACCGGGUGCCUCUCCAAUUAUUGUGCACCCAUACCAAUAUCCACACUUUCAGAUGGGCAUAAUUGAGCAUCAAGUUUGUGAAAUGCUCAGUUUGGGGGUCAUUCAUCCUAGUUCCAGUCCUUACUCCUCCCCAGUUUUGUUGGUUCGCAAAAAUGACUGGACUUGGCAUUUUUAUGUCGAUUAUCGAGCCUUAAACUCCAA
rnacentral:lncRNA from 1 species